CUCUUAUCAAGAGUAGCGGAGGGACUGGCCCUAUGAAGCUCGGCAACCGGAUAUCACGGUGCCAAUUCCAGCAGCAUAUCGCUGAAAGAUGGGAG
rnacentral:ncRNA from 2 species